AUGACACUGUCACUGCUCUUCUCCCUUUUCCUACUCGCCGCCCCAUCAGGUGUCCUCUCCCAGGUACAGCUGGUCCAGUCCGGCCCAGGAGCGAUGAAGCCAGGGGAGACCCUCACACUGAGCUGCGCUGUCUCGGGUUACUCCAUCACCAGUGGUUACGGUUGGGACUGGAUCCGGCAGCCCGCUGGGACAGGGCUGGAGUGGCUGGGACGGGGAUAUUACAGCGGUUCCACCUGGAACACGAACUAUGCCUCGUCCUUCCAGAGCCGAAUCACCAUCUCCACCGACUCCUCCAAGAACCAGUUCUCCCUGCAGAUCCGCUCGCUGACAGCUGCAGAUACUGCCGUGUAUUACUGCGCCAGGGGAGACACAGUGACACAGAGCAGAGCAGGGCCCAGACAGAAAGGCGAAGCGGAGCCAACACAGUUUCAUGACUCUGUGAAAGUUAUUCCUGUAGAAAAGCAGGAGACGCCCCUUUCCGCUAGAUGGCUGAAAAGGGACAGCCUCUGUUUUCACUUGCACGUGGUGAAAAUUCAUGAAGACAGAAAUAGAAACCAGUGA